CCUACGGGAGGCAGCAGUGGGGAAUAUUGGGCAAUGGGCGCAAGCCUGACCCAGCAACGCCGCGUGAAGGAAGAAUGCUUUCGGGUUUUAAACUUCUUUUUUCAGGGACGAAGCAAGUGACGGUACCUGACGAAUAAGCCACGGCUAACUACGUGCCCGCAGCCGCGGUAAUACGUAGGUGGCAAGCGUUAUCCGGAUUUACUGGGUGUAAAGGGAGUGUAGGCGGGACUGCAAGUCAGAUGUGAAAACCACGGGCUCAACCUGUGGCCUGCAUUUGAAACUGUAGUUCUUGAGUACUGGAGAGGCAGACGGAAUUCCUAGUGUAGCGGUGAAAUGCGUAGAUAUUAGGAGGAACACCAGUGGCGAAGGCGGUCUGCUGGACAGCAACUGACGCUGAGGCGCGAAAGCGUGGGGAGCAAACAGGAUUAGAUACCCGGGUAGUC
rnacentral:rRNA from 1 species